UACGUAGGGACCAAGCGUUGUUCGGAUUUAUUGGGCGUAAAGAGCGUGUAGGCGGCUUUGCAAGUCCGUUGUGAAAACUCGAGGCUCAACCUCGAGACGCCGGUGGAAACUGCAAAGCUAGAGUCCGGAAGAGGAGAGUGGAAUUCCUGGUGUAGCGGUGAAAUGCGCAGAUAUCAGGAGGAACACCGGCGGUGUAGACGGCUUACUGGACCAUAACUGACGCUGAGGCACGAAAGCGUGGGUAGCAAACAGG
rnacentral:rRNA from 1 species